rnacentral:hammerhead_ribozyme from 1 species
AUCCAGCUGACGAGUCCCAAAUAGGACGAAAUGCACAUCCUGAUUGGAU